GCGGAUCGACGCUGGCGGGUAUCACCUGAGCGGCGGCCCCUCGCACAUGCGCGGCACUGUGUUCUGGGAGCCCGGCAAACCCCUCUCCAUUGAGGACUUCCAGAUGCCCCGUCCCAAGGCCGGCGAGCUCCUCAUCAAGACCAAAGCCUGUGGAGUUUGUCACUCUGAUCUCCAUGUCAUUAAAGGUGAACUUCCAUUUUCCAGUCCCUGUGUUGUCGGUCAUGAAAUAACUGGAGAGGUAGUUGAG
rnacentral:misc_RNA from 1 species